ACGCUAGCUACAGGCUUAACACAUGCAAGUCGAGGGGAAACGGCAUUAAGUGCUUGCACUUUUUGGACGUCGACCGGCGCACGGGUGAGUAACGCGUAUCCAACCUUCCCAUGACUAAGGGAUAACCUGCCGAAAGGCAGACUAAUACCUUAUGGUCUUCACUGACGGCAUCAGAUGUGAAGUAAAGAUUUAUCGGUUAUGGAUGGGGAUGCGUCUGAUUAGCUUGUUGGCGGGGUAACGGCCCACCAAGGCAACGAUCAGUAGGGGUUCUGAGAGGAAGGUCCCCCACAUUGGAACUGAGACACGGUCCAAACUCCUACGGGAGGCAGCAGUGAGGAAUAUUGGUCAAUGGGCGAGAGCCUGAACCAGCCAAGUAGCGUGCAGGAAGACGGCCCUAUGGAUUGUAAACUGCUUUUGUAUGGGGAUAAAGUCAAUCACGUGUGAUUGUUUGCAGGUACCAUACGAAUAAGGACCGGCUAAUUCCGUGCCAGCAGCCGCGGUAAUACGGAAGGUCCGGGCGUUAUCCGGAUUUAUUGGGUUUAAAGGGAGCGUAGGCUGGAGAUUAAGUGUGUUGUGAAAUGUAGACGCUCAACGUCUGACUUGCAGCGCAUACUGGUUUCCUUGAGUACGCACAACGUUGGCGGAAUUCGUCGUGUAGCGGUGAAAUGCUUAGAUAUGACGAAGAACUCCGAUUGCGAAGGCAGCUGACGGGAGCGCAACUGACGCUGAAGCUCGAAGGUGUGGGUAUCGAACAGGAUUAGAUACCCUGGUAGUCCGCACAGUAAACGAUGGAUGCCCGCUGUUGGUACCUGGUAUCAGCGGCUAAGCGAAAGCAUUAAGCAUCCCACCUGGGGAGUACGCCGGCAACGGUGAAACUCAAAGGAAUUGACGGGGGCCCGCACAAGCGGAG
rnacentral:rRNA from 1 species